rnacentral:rRNA from 1 species
CUCCUACGGGAGGCAGCAGUGGGGAAUCUUGCACAAUGGACGAAAGUCUGAUGCAGCGACGCCGCGUGAGCGAUGAAGCCCUUCGGGGUGUAAAGCUCUUUCGACAGGAACGAUAAUGACGGUACCUGGAGAAGAAGCUGCUGGUAAGGAGGUGGCAGCAGC